GGCCCCAUGGUCUAGUGGUCUAGGACGCCUGGUUUUCAGCCAGGAGGACGGGGGUUCGAAUCCCCCUGGGGUCACCA
rnacentral:tRNA from 2 species